UCAGUGGGGUGAGGGAUGGUGA
rnacentral:miRNA from 1 species